CUCCGGCUGAGGAGGGGACCCCGUGCGUGCGGGUGAGAUGGGGCUUAGCCCUGAAGUUUUCAAGGGUUCCCCUUUCAUGUGGGUGGAACUGGGGUGCCCUCCGGCUGAGGAGGGGACCCCGUGCGUGCGGGUGAGAUGGGGCUUAGCCCUGAAGUUUUCAAGGGUUCCCCUUGCGUGCAGGUCAAACUGGGGUGCCCUCCGGCUGAGGAGGGGACCCCGUGCGUGCGGGUGAGAUGGGGCUUAGCCCUGAAGUUUUCAAGGGUUCCCCUUGCGUGUGGGUGGAACUGGGGUGCCCUCCGGCUGAGGAGGGGACCCCGUGCGUGCGGGUGAGAUGGGGCUUAGCCCUGAAGUUUUCAAGGGUUCCCCUUGCAUGUGGGUGGAACUGGGGUGCCCUCCGGCUGAGGAGGGGACCCCGUGCGUGCGGGUGAGAUGGGGCUUAGCCCUGAAGUUUUCAAGGGUUCCCCUUGCAUGUGGGUGGAACUGGGGUGCCCUCCGGCUGAGGAGCGGACCCCGUGCGUUGGGUAGGAGCCCCUGGUGAAGGGGUCUCUCCUCUGAGUGUGUGUGUGUGUGUACCUGUUUCUUGUUGCAUUUGCAGGUCCACUGUCUCCUGCAUAGCUGACGUGGCCUUGGUGCAAUGUAGGGUCUGUCUCUGCUCUCGUCUUCAUGCCCAUCUUCUGUCUGACGGCCACGUGCAGGUAUCCGAGGCUGAGCUUCUGGCUGGCACUGCGCUUUGUCUCAAGGAUCUCCUCUUUCACAAGCUCCCUCGGUUCCAUUUUCUCAUUUCUAGGUUAAAAGAAGUAUAAGCACAAGUUAUUUGCUAGCAACUUCUGUCUGCUGCGGUUCUGCUUGUUUCUUUCAGCCCGCCCCUCCCGUAUUGGUUUUCUUUCAGCUGUCAGUUCCUACUUUGCCAAUACUGACCAAAUUAUCCUGUUAGCACAUUUCUUUUAUUUUUGCCAUGGCUGAGAAGGGGUGUGAGCUGCACAGAAAUGAAAAGAUUAAUAUAACUGGGGGCAUGCAGUCCUACGGCUCUGGAGUGAGCAGCUCCAUGUUUGUGCAGCAUGUGGGAAAGCUGCAGUCUGGACGUCCUGAACGUGAACGCUGCAGCUCAGCUCAGUGUGUGUCAGCCUCUGUCUGCAAGCAAACCCUCCCCGGCCAAAGGCCGAAGGCCAAAGGCCAAAUCCCAAAUCCCAAAUCCCAAAUCCCAAAUCCCCGCCUCCAUUGCUAACAUCAGAGCACAGCAAGCCGUACGUGUGCAGAAGCAUCCCAGAUUCCUAUGGCUCUGUAGCGGUGCGCUAAAGAGGGCCUCGGUCCUACAGCCUCACGGCAGGAACUUGGCAAACAAGGAGCUUCUCACGGGACUGCUCACUUGCAUCCACUGCCAUCGCAUCCACAGCCCGCAGCCCGCAGCCCGCAGCCGUCGGGUGAAGCCCUCAAGAGUACAACGGAGGUCGAGUGCUGAAAGCACGGGAGAGUUCCCGCAGCAACUGCUGCUAACAGCAGACGCUCCCAGCAACUCCAAGGAAGCCCUGAGAGCCCCGAGCCGUGCCCCAGGACCGCUUCCUCUCUCGAUUCACCGCCACCGCCACGGGAAAAGCAGACGGGAAAAGGGCACCGACGAAAGCUGCCGAUCGCG
ensembl:lncRNA